AUGGGCCUCCCUAGGGCCCCUUCCUAUGGCUGGCAGAGGAGAUGGGAAGGCCCUGAGGACCCCACAGCCACGUGGGCACCCCCUCCAGGUCUGGAGCCAGGACCCAGCCUCGCGGCAGGCAGUUACAAUAAGGCUCAGGCGCCACCCCUUCCCUGGGGCCAUGCCCAGCCCUGGCCUGAGGGGGCUGCGGCCCAGGGAGCCCCACCGGAAUCUGAGGUCCCAGCACAGGUAUGGCUCUCCUCACUCAGCAGCGUCACAGGCAUCGCCAGUGGCUCGGCCUCACCUCUGUCCACAGUUGGGGUCUGUGGGCAGGUGGCACCCAGAAGGCCCAGGCCUGCAGCCUGUAGACGUACAGGAGGGAGUGAGUGUGCCCCGGCUGGCUCCGGCUGCCCCUGCCUCUCCAGCGGCUCAGGCGUGGUGCAUACCUUGUGCUUCCCUCACUCCCACAGUCCUGCCCACGCUGAGGCGAAGGCAGGCAGGUGGUUUGGGGUAUCUGGUGUCCUGUGUGAGUCUCCUGCAGCUGCUGUGACAAAUCCCCCCAAUUUUGGUGGCUUAAAUCGACAGAAACGUGUCCUCUCACUUGUGAGGCCAGAGCGCAGCCCUGGUGUUACCAGUGAACUCGUGGGGUUGGCGGCCCUGGGCCUCUCCCCAGGCCUCCACUCCAGGCCUUCUCAGCAGGCCUCCUCCACUGGCCUCCUCCGUGGCCACGGGGGUUCUUGUCUCCAUAAGGCCCCUCAGGUUGGCGUUCAGGGCCCCCUGCCACCUUGGCCCUGCAUGAGCUUUUCACCUCAGCCUCCACUUGUCAUGUCUCAGCCACAGGGAGACCCACGGUUGGGGAGUGUUUCCCAGAGGGGUCUUGGGGCCGGGGGCAGUGGGGGUUCCCCAGUGGGGGGGACCACAUCAAGCUGUUCUCCUGAGCCUCUCGGUUGGAAGGGCCAAUCCCCAGGACUCAGCACAAAGUUGGGGGAUGUCGCUGGCCCAGCCAGGUUCCAAGGGAGGACUCACAGCCCCACCCACGGGGAUGUGGUGACAAGGUCUCCACUGCACUCACAGAAAUGCCCCCCUUGUCACCUGGUGGCACUUCCUCAGGAAAACACGGUCCACUGUGUCCCCAUGAAAGCUGGCUUUGCCGGGCCUUCUGGAACCAGCCCUCCACUGAGUCACAAUUUCACAGUGGCUGUGCCCACAGAGCAGGGCAUGUGGCAUCACACACUUCUUAAUCUGGGGCCAAACCCAUGGAGAAAAAGACCCAGCCAUGCAGGUGCCCAUCCCUGGGUGAGGACUGCCGGGGCCUGUGGGCAAGCUCACAAGUCUGUCACGACUACCCGGGUGCCUGGCGUCCUGGCAACCACACCGGCCCACCGUGAGCCCCAGGGGCCUUCCAAGGGUGCAGACAGGUAG
rnacentral:lncRNA from 12 species